UUUUCAGUUAAAUGGAUGAUGAAUAAUAGUCUUCUCUUACCUAAACAGCAUAUUUUGGAUACUGACAAAUUACUGUGCUCCUGGAAAUGGGUUCAAAGAUGGGCCUGGAGAUGGAAAUCUUCAUUUCUCCACAGACAAGAUACAGCAUAGCAGCAGUAAUGCUUUCAAGAUGGACUUUACAGAUGUUGUGAAGAAGAAAGCCUGGAGCUGUUUAAAAGACAUGACAAACUGCUAAAAAGCAGAUGCAGCUUUUGUUUAUAAAUCUUCUAGCCUUUUCCAGUAAUUAAGACUUGAGUGGGUUUAGUGUGAAAAUGAAAAUCAUUCCAACUACAGUAUAUAAAAAAAAAGACAAUUUCUCUAAAAUGAAACCAUCACUUAAACUGGCCUUUUAUUUUUAAGGGAAUUACAUCCUGGCAGAACCCAAUGGAAUGUCUGGCUUUAGAUGGAAAUGUUAUAAAAGGUGUAAAACACAGGAGUUUUCAAAAAACUCCUUAAUGCAGGGUUUAUUUUUACUCUGUCUUGACAGAUCCAUACUAAGAGCAAGAAAAAUGAUAGUUAAACUUGGCACAUACUAAGAACCCCACCUAUAGCUCUUACAAAGCCAGUAAAGUCACUUUCUUAAAUGAAUACUCUCUUUUAUACCUUAUUCUGUCCCACUUACUAUAUAGAACUUAAACAAUUCUGUCAACAAUUAAUCAAAAAUGCAAAUCACGGUAGUAGCUGAUUAAAUGUAAUCAGGAUGUAUAAGAAACUGAAUGGUAGUAAGCAGGAAAAGCUAUCAGACCUGGGAGGCAAAUAAGUAUCAUUGAAAAGAUUAAGGGAAAAAACAUUAUCUCUCACAAAUGUAGUCUUUAAUGGAUUUCCCAUCAUCUCACUGCAAGUAAAGCAGUCUUCUCACACCGUGUAGAUGGAUCAGUAAUGGAACAUCUAAAAUUGGGCUCAUAUAACAUGCAAAACUAGAUUUCAGCUUGUGAUAUAAUAGCUGGCCAGUUAACCCUCAUUUGGGGCGGGAUUGCUGAUCAUUCUUGCCCAGAGAAGAAAAAUCCGCUGGCAUUAACCAGCUGUCGACAGUUAUCCACCCUGGGCUCGGUGCUUGAUAUGAAAUUACUGAUUCCAGAUGUCCCAGUUUUGAGUAAAAGAUUCUUACUCAGUUCAGAGACUGUGAGAGGGUAGGGUAAAUAAUUUCCUUUUUAGUGGCGCUAGGAGUGGAAUUAGCUUGGUCAAAACUUUAAAUCUGCCUGCCUAAAGUUAGGCACCUAGCUCCGUAUUCAGACUCCCAAAUAACGUGCUGAUCACCUGCAGCUCCUGUUGAUUGGGAACCUGGCCACCUUCCAUACCCAACCUUAUCAAAAGAUGUUCAAAUGAACCUUGCAAGGAAUGGGAAAUUCCACUCCAUUUAAAUACGCAUGCAUCCAUAGUCGCAACAGAACAAAAAUCAUUAGUAUUGAAAUUAUAACAAAAACUGGUACCAGUGUCCCAGGGGGGCUUGUUAAGUCCCUGCUGCCAUCCAGGCUGCUGCAAUUUCACUGCUUUUGUUAUUCAGGCUAGUUAGACCAAACCUCAGGUAUGUCAGCUUAUCUCUCUCACCAACAGAAGUUGGCCCAAUAAAAGAUAUUACCUCACCCCCCUCGUCUCUCAGGUAUGUCUACAUACUUCUGAUUGCAUCAUAGCCCAAUUCUGCCAACACUCUGAAUGUAAUUAAGCACUGGUUUACAUUAGAAGAGUUGCACUGAUUUAAGUAGAUUUUAAAACUGAUCGAAUUAAACCAAUGCAAAGGCUUAAGGUAGAUGCAUAAGUCAGUUUAGUUGAAAUCUGUUAUUUACUAAUGCAAGCUAAACACAAGAGUUAAACUGGUUUAAGUAAGUCUACAUUAGGUAUUUUCACUGGUUUAACCAGAUAGAUUUUUUUUAAACCUAUUUAAUUAAAGCAAUGCAACUCUUCUAGUAGAGACAAGGUUUAAUUUUACUCAUAUGAGUCAAUAAGUUGAAAUUCACAGGACUAUUCACAGCAAUAAGCAUAAUGCUUGGUAAUGAAUAUAUGCAGGACUGGGCACUUGAACAAAUAUUGUGGGUGGAGCAUGUAUUUACACUCAGUUAAAGUUGGCCAAAGGAUUCCAUUCGAAAGAGCUUUUUUAAAAGCCAUUUAUAGCUUUCUCAAAUCUUCAUCUUUCAUGCUGAAAUUUACCACGUAUGAGAUCUGUCCCUUGGUGGGGGGGUUCUUGGGGAGGGACGUGAGG